rfam:Moniliophthora roreri MCA 2997 sctg_0298_0002, whole genome shotgun sequence.
GCUUCCUUGGCUCAGUUGGCUAGAGCGCAGGUCUCAUACUUCGUGUAUGACGUUGGUGUAAUGACCAAUGAAAUCCUGAGGUCGCAAGUUCGAGCCUUGCAGGGAGCA